AGGGCGAACGCUGGCGGCAGGCCUAAUACAUGCAAGUCGAACGGAUCCUUCGGGAUUAGUGGCGGACGGGUGAGUAACACGUGGGAACGUACCCUUUGGUUCGGAACAACUCAGGGAAACUUGAGCUAAUACCGAAUGUGCCCUUCGGGGAAAAGAUUUAUCGCCAUUGGAGCGGCCCGCGUCUGAUUAGCUAGUUGGUAGGGUAAAGGCCUACCAAGGCUACGAUCAGUAGCUGGUCUGAGAGGAUGAUCAGCCACACUGGGACUGAGACACGGCCCAGACUCCUACGGGAGGCAGCAGUAGGGAAUCUUGCGCAAUGGGCGAAAGCCUGACGCAGCCAUGCCGCGUGAAUGAUGAAGGUCUUAGGAUUGUAAAAUUCUUUCAGCGGGGACGAUAAUGACGGUACCGCAGAAGAAGCCCCGGCUAACUUCGUGCCAGCAGCCG
rnacentral:rRNA from 1 species